GUGGGGAAUCUUCCACAAUGGACGAAAGUCUGAUGGAGCAACGCCGCGUGAGUGAAGAAGGGUUUCGGCUCGUAAAGCUCUGUUGUCGGGGACGAAUGUGCAGUAUUUGAAUAAAGUACUGCAAUGACGGUACCUGACGAGGAAGCCACGGCUAACUACGUGCCAGCAGCCGCGGUAAUACGUAGGUGGCAAGCGUUGUCCGGAAUUAUUGGGCGUAAAGGGAGCGCAGGCGGGAAGGUAAGUCGGUCUUAAAAGUGCGGGGCUCAACCCCGUGAUGGGAUCGAAACUAUCUUUCUUGAGUGCAGGAGAGGAAAGUGGAAUUCCUAGUGUAGCGGUGAAAUGCGUAGAUAUUAGGAGGAACACCAGUGGCGAAGGCGCCUUUCUGGACUGUGUCUGACGCUGAGAUGCGAAAGCCAGGGUAGCGAACGGGAUUAGAUACCCGUGUAGUCC
rnacentral:rRNA from 1 species